rnacentral:rRNA from 1 species
UACGUAGGGGGCAAGCGUUGUCCGGAUUCAUUGGGCGUAAAGAGCGUGUAGGCGGCCAGGUAGGUCGGUUGUGAAAACUGGAGGCUCAACCUUCAGAGGUCGACCGAAACCAUCUGGCUAGAGUCCGGGAGAGGAGAGUGGAAUUCCUGGUGUAGCGGUGAAAUGCGCAGAUAUCUGGAGGAACACCGGUGGCGAAGGCGGCAUCCUGGACCGGCAUUGACGCUGAGGCGCGAAAGCCAGGGGAGCAAACGGG